AGAGUUUGAUCAUGGCUCAGAACGAACGCUGGCGGCGUGUCUUAAGCAUGCAAGUCGAACGAUAACUCGAAGCUUGCUUCGAGCGACAGUGGCAAACGGGUGAGUAACACGUGGGUAACCUGCCUUCGGAUGGGGGAUAGCAUUAGGAAACUAGUGGUAAUACCGCAUAACACUGAGUGGUCAUAAGACCAUUUGGUCAAAGGCGCUUUCGGGCGUCGUCUGGAGAUGGGCCCGCGGACUAUUAGCUUGUUGGUAGGGUAACGGCCUACCAAGGCUACGAUGGAUAGCCGGCCUGAGAGGGUGUACGGCCACAUUGGGACUGAGAUACGGCCCAGACUCCUACGGGAGGCAGCAGCUAAGAAUAUUCCGCAAUGGGCGCAAGCCUGACGGAGCGACGCCGCGUGGAGGAUGAAGGCUUUCGGGUUGUAAACUCCUUUUCUUAGGGAAGAAUAAAGUUGGCAGGAAAUGGUCGACCGAUGACGGUACCUAAGGAAUAAGCCCCGGCUAAUUACGUGCCAGCAGCCGCGGUAAUACGUAUGGGGCAAGCGUUGUUCGGAUUCACUGGGCGUAAAGGGCGUGUAGGCGGUGUGGUAAGUCGGAUGUGAAAUCUCCAGGCUCAACCUGGAAACUGCAUUCGAUACUGCCAUGCUUGAGUACCGGAGAGGGAAACGGAAUUCCUGGUGUAGGGGUGAAAUCUGUAGAUAUCAGGAAGAACACCGGUGGCGAAGGCGGUUUCCUGGCCCGGAUACUGACGCUGAGGCGCGAAAGCUAGGGGAGCAAACAGGAUUAGAUACCCUGGUAGUCCUAGCUGUAAACGUUGUGCACUAGUGUAAGUGGUUUCAACCCACUUGUGCCGUAGCUAACGCAUUAAGUGCACCGCCUGGGGAGUAUGCUCGCAAGGGUGAAACUCAAAUGAAUUGACGG
rnacentral:rRNA from 1 species